rnacentral:tRNA from 1 species
UGAGAGGUCAUGGCUCAGUGGUACAGCAUCUGCUUGGCAUGCAGAAGGCCACAGGUUCAAUUCCCAGCCUCUCCA